UUCUCCAGCAGGAGGGCGUUCCGCUCACAAACAGAAAUACAGAGUGGUGAAUUAUGCUCCACAUGCAGAUACUGUACAUGUUUGUUUCUCCAGACUCUGUGUAGCUCCAGGACCGGGCCUCGCUGUGCAGCUUAGCCGUCCUCAGGGUGUCAAAGCCGGGGAAAAGGCUUCCGAGGAGGCCGGCCUCAGACAUGGAGGCUCCGCAGAGGAAAGAGCUGUAGGACGGGUUUCCUAGCAUGGACCCUGCUCCCAUCGGAGGGGAUAUGUCACCUCUGUAUGUGCCGAGGAAGAGGAGAUCAGUCCACUCCCAGCCUAAAAGUGGAGUGCCAUGUCCAGUAGUUGUUCAGCGAGUACCUGAAAGACCCUGUGACUUAAAUUCAGCUGGGUAUCCCAAGAAUGACGAGUCUGAAGCCAUGGACGCUCUAAAGAUGAAGAGAACCUACGGUAGAAAAAGGUAAGAG